GUGCUCGCUUCAGCAGCAUAUAUACUAAAAUUGGAAUGAUACAGAGAUUAGCAUGGCCCCUGUUCAAGGAUGACGUGUAAAUUUGUGAAGCAUUCCAUAUUUGG
ensembl:snRNA U6 U6 spliceosomal RNA